GAGUAAGUGAGCAGAGAGAGAGGAUCCCGUCGAGUCAGAGAGGAUUGCGGCUCCGUCAGGUGGCCGGCGACCGCGAUGGCACAACUCUCCUUCACCCCACCCCAGCGGCCUCCUCCCCCAAUACUCCUCACUGUUUUCUUCCCCUUUUCUUCGCCGGAUCUAAAGACGGGCUGCCGGCGUCGGCCUGCCGUCGUCGCCGAGGUUGGCAGGUGAGGUCGGGUCUCGUUGUCUCCGCACCGAGCGCGUGUAGCUCCGCCUUGAUUCGGCACCGCGUCGCGGACGAGGAGCCGACGGAGCAGGGGAUGCUUCUGGCAGAGCAGGCCACGGGCGCCGUCGGCGCCAACCCAGGCGACGGCGAGGGCGCCAAUCCCCUCCAACCAGCCCCCGCAUCCAGCACGGGGUCGGCAGCGGCGGGGGUGGCGCAGCGCGCAUCGACGACGAUGUGGAGACGCGCGCGGUGGAUUGCUCGAGGGCAUGGAAGCGCACAGCGUGGCCGACAUCUUAACCUCCCCCGCGCAGCCAUUCCCAUGGUUGGUGGCAGCGGAGCCGAGGCGGGCCACUACAGAGAGGAGUUUCACCGACGGAAGGACGACGUCGCGCGUGUGAGGCGGGCUCGCCGCCGAUGCUCUCCUCUAGUUCCUGCUGUCAUCCUGCUUCCCUGGACACCUCCGUGCUCACCAGCACGUCCCCAAGAUCCCGCGCGAGAAGGGGGCUGCGGCAGCUAGGUCAUGGAGGCACCGAUGCAAGGGGAUCGGAGGCGAUAGCCACGGCGCGGACGGCAGAGCAGGCGACGGCGUCUCCGUCGUGUGGGUGGGCCGGCGGGCGGAGGUCACCCCCUCUAUCUCCGAGCGCGGCGGCAUCAAGACGGCGGGGUGCUUCCAGAUGCGGCGGGUGCCCAUGGGCCCGGCCAUGGGCGCGCAGGUGUCCGCCGCGAGUUUUCUACGGCGAGCUCCACCAUUGCAUGUAUGGGCCAGCACAUACAGUAUGUUUGCCAUCUGUCCUAUGGCUUUUCUAGUAUGCCUCUACCAUUUCUGCCAUCUUAAUUUUUGAAGAGGCAAGUUAGUUCAGGUGUCACAUUUACCCUCAUCCAGAUGGUAUAGUUGCCAUGGCAAAUUUACCUUUGAGCUAACUAGAUUGUUUGUCAUGUGAAUUUUUUUUACAAAUUUGCCAUGGCUAACUAGAGUGUUGGUCAUGGAAAAAAAUACAGAUUUUGCCAUGACAUAAAUUUAGAACAAUUUGCCAUGACAUGAAUUUACAACAAUUUGCCAUGGAAAAAUGUUUAACAAAUUUGCCACAGAUAAAAUAGCACAAAGAAAUGAUGGAGAAUAUUGCCAUGGCAAAUACACAUUCAAAUUUGCCAUGUUAUUUUUAUCAAAAUGUCAAACUUUUUCGUUUUUAGUUGCCAUGGCAACUCAACUUUUUAGAUUUUCCAUGAUGUGUUGCUACAGAACUAACAAAAGGGUUGUGUUGCCAUGUAAAUAUAUGAUGUGUUGCCAUGUUUUUCUUUGCAACAUGGCUAUUUGAGUUCUAUGAGAGCAUGGCAAAUGUAGUUUAAUAUGUUGCCAUGUUCAUGGCGAUUUUUUGUGUGUUGUUUCACAUACACGGCAACUUAAUACCAAAGAAGAUGGCAACUCUUGGUUAAACGCCAUGGAAAGUUUGAACAUGCUUUUUGCCAUCACAAUUUUUGUAUAAUUUCACAUUCAUGGCAACUGUUUAUACAUAAGCAUGGCAAAUUUGAUUAAAAAAAACCCACAAAAAGUUGAAUAUGCAUUUGCCAUGGCAUUCAAAUAUACAUUUUUUUCCAUGGCAAAUUUGACAAUUUUUUGUGUUAUUUUCGUUACAUGGCAAAUUAAUGACACCAAAUAUGGAAAAUUUUGGUAAAAUGCCAUGGCAAAUUUGAACAUUCCCUUGCCAUGGCAACUAUUCAUCAUUUUUGUAAUAUUUCACAAUAUUGCAAAAUUAUUUAUAUUAGCAUUCCAAAUUCGAUAAAAAAAAUCCAUGGCAUAUUAGAAUAUGCAUUGCCAUGGAAAUUCUGAUCUUCUUUU